GAAACUAGCUUACUGAGUUGUCGAUUUUAUCAGUAGAUAAAGAAACUUUGUUUAUUACAGUUUCAGGGAAGGUUUUUCAGGAUAUUUCUCAGUUAUUCUAAGGGCCAAAUUUUAUAUAUAAAAAAAAAAAAACUUCAUUAGGAAUGUCAGUUUCAGAUACCCUUUGUAUAGCCUGUGGCCUGCAAGCACGACAGGACUGAGCCUUACAUGUGUCCGAACAGGAAUUCAUAAGUCCCCAAAGUAAACGUCUCCAUGUAACGAUUCUUGACGUGUUUCUCUGAGAGUUGGCUUAUUUUGAUUAUCAAUUCUUUCUCACUGUCCAUUCCUAUUGAUUUAUCCUGCCAUAUCUCUUUGGGUUUGAUGAGCUCAACAUUUUUUGCUCUUUGAUAACAACUCAGGUUUUGGUUUGGGGUUUUUCAUGCCCCCUUUGUGUGUUGCUUAUGUUUUCCACCACAGUAUAAAAGUACUGAAGCCAAGCCACUUCCCAUUCAUUCCUUUACUGCUGCCUCCCUUUCCCCAACUCCCAACUCCUAACACACCUUCAUUUUUUUCCCAUCGUCUUCUUCUUCUUCUUUUUUUUUAACACUACCUAGAUGCGUUAGCUGCCUGAUUAGUUUAUCUAUUCCAUGUGGAUGCAGUGAGUUUAUAAGAGAAUUUCACAAACAAGUAGUUUUUUAGUGAACUUAAACAGAAUUUUAAAGGAGACCUAUUUUUAUACUCAAUAAAAGCACAAAACGUGCAUAAAAUAUAGCAUGGCGUACAAAGGGAAAUCCACUCAUAACGUUCCAUGUAUAGAAGUAAUAAUUUUCUUGGAUAGCGAUAUUCUUUGAAGACCCAGUGCCUGUCUGCCUGUGCCCAGACAGGGUGGUUUCCACACACUGGGAACUUCCGGUUGCCGGCACUUGACAAACACAGUUCACCACAGCCACAAAGAGCAAUAGGUAGGAGCUGAGGUGUGCCUCCUGAUGAGCAGUCGGCCACUAGGCAACCUGGAUGUGCCCAUGUGGAGGCUCCAGCCUCACUGUUUGAUCAAACUUCUUUUAUGUAGUCUCUUCUGUG
rnacentral:lncRNA from 1 species